UACGUAGGGGGCGAGCGUUGUCCGGAUUUAUUGGGCGUAAAGAGCGUGUAGGCGGCCAGGUAGGUCUGCUGUGAAAACUCGAGGCUCAACCUCGAGACGUCGGCGGAAACCAUCUGGCUAGAGUCCGGAAGAGGAGUGUGGAAUUCCCGGUGUAGCGGUGAAAUGCGCAGAUAUCGGGAAGAACACCCGUGGCGAAGGCGGCACUCUGGGACGGUACUGACGCUGAGACGCGAAAGCGUGGGGAGCGAACAGG
rnacentral:rRNA from 1 species